GACGGAGGGCGCAAGCGUUGUUCGGAAUUACUGGGCGUAAAGCGCGCGCAGGCGGAUGAGACAGUCAGGGGUGAAAGCCUGGGGCUCAACCCCGGGAUGUCUCCUGAUACUGCUUGUCUAGGGACCGGUAGGGGCUGGUGGAAUUCCCGGUGUAGCGGUGGAAUGCGUAGAUAUCGGGAAGAACAUCGGUGGCGAAGGCGGCCAGCUGGACCGGAUCCGACGCUGAGGCGCGAAAGCGUGAGGAGCAAACAGG
rnacentral:rRNA from 1 species